GGAGCUGGCCGGGCGACCGCGGCGUACGUCUUCGGAGAUCUCUCCGGGGCGGGCGUCGAGGAAGGUCCGGGCUCCGUAGGGCAGGGCGGUGGGCAACACCCACCCGGGGUGACCCGCGGGACAGUGCCACAGAAAACAGACCGCCGCCAUCGGCGCAGCUGAUGGAGGUAAGGGUGAAAUGGUGGUGCAAGAGACCACCAGCGACCGGGGCGACCCGGUCGGCUCGGCAAACCCCGCCCGGAGCAAGGUCGAACAGCGUGCGUCCGAGGGCGGCCCGCCCGAGCACGCGGGUAGACCGCACGAGUCCGCCGGCAACGGCGGGCCUAGAUGGAUGGUCGCCCCCCGACCGGUCGCAAGACCGCCGGGGACAGAACCCGGCCUACAGGCCAGCUCCUCCG
rnacentral:RNase_P_RNA from 1 species